rnacentral:rRNA from 1 species
GACGAACGCUGGCGGCGUGCUUAACACAUGCAAGUCGAACGGAAAGGCCCUGCUUUUGUGGGGUGCUCGAGUGGCGAACGGGUGAGUAACACGUGAGUAACCUGCCCUUGACUUUGGGAUAACUUCAGGAAACUGGGGCUAAUACCGGAUAGGAGCUCCUGCUGCAUGGUGGGGGUUGGAAAGUUUCGGCGGUUGGGGAUGGACUCGCGGCUUAUCAGCUUGUUGGUGGGGUAGUGGCUUACCAAGGCUUUGACGGGUAGCCGGCCUGAGAGGGUGACCGGCCACCAUGGGACUGAGGUAAGGCCCAGAAUCCUACGGGAGGCAGCAGUGGGGAAUAUUGCACAAUGGGCGGAAGCCUGAUGCAGCAACGCCGCGUGCGGGAUGACGGCCUUCGGGUUGUAAACCGCUUUCGCCUGUGACGAAGCGUGAGUGACGGUAAUGGGUAAAGAAGCACCGGCUAACUACGUG